AACUUGCCCCGAGAUGAGUUCUCCCUGAGACUACAAGUCUCCUGAAGGAACGUUGAAGACGACGACGUUGAUAGGCCGGGUGUGUAAGCGCAGCGAUGCGUUGAGCUAACCGGUACUAAUGAACCGUGAGGCUUAACCUUACAACGCCGAAG
rnacentral:rRNA from 1 species